CCCUGGUUAGCUCAGUUGGUAGAGCGCUCCACCUGUAAUGGAGAGGUCCCGGGUUCGAUACCCGAACCAGGCG
rfam:Ixodes scapularis strain Wikel colony gcontig_1108379840616, whole genome shotgun sequence.